rnacentral:tRNA from 1 species
AGGACUGUAAUUUAUAAAAAAUAUUUGAUUUGCAUUUAAAAAAAACUCCUGAGUCUGUCUUA